rnacentral:rRNA from 1 species
ACAUGCCUACAACAUAACGUUAAGAAAUUGGAUCCCAUUAUAAAUUCACAGUUAAGCGCGCUCAGGCUAGAGUAGUAAUGGGAUGGGUGACCGCCUGAGAAAUCCUAGUGUUUUACAUGCC